rnacentral:rRNA from 1 species
GACGAACGCUGGCGGCGUGCCUAAUACAUGCAAGUCGAGCGAACAGACGAGGAGCUUGCUCCGCUGACGUUAGCGGCGGACGGGUGAGUAACACGUGGAUAACCCACCUAUAAGACUGGGAUAACUUCGGGAAACCGGAGCUAAUACCGGAUAAUAUACUGCACCGCAGGGGUCAAUAGUGAGAGACGGCUUUGCUGGCACGAAUCGAUGGAUCCGCGCCGCAUUAGCUGGUUGGUACGGUAACGGCUUACCAAGGCGACCAUGCGUAGCCGACGUGAGGGAGGGGUCGCCCACCCUGGAGCUUAGCCACGGUCCAUGCUCCUACGGUACGCAGCAGUAUGGAACCGUCCGCAGUGGGCGAAAGCCUUACGGAGCAGGGCCGCGUGUGUGGUGGAGGUCUUCGGUGCGUAAAACCCUGUUAUUAGGGAAGAACCAAUGUGUACGGUGCUAUGCACUGCGUGACGGUACCGGGUCAGAAAGCCCCGGCUAACUACGUG